AUUCUUUAGGCAUAUUUUUCAAAAUGCAAGACUUGUAGAACUCCGUAGAUAUGACCUACGUGGAACUCCUGCUGAAAACAUUAAUCUUCCACCAGCCCUUUUGUCAAGAUUUGAUCUUUCUUGGUUAAUCCUGGAUCGAGCAGAUAUGGAUAGUGAUCUUGAGAUGGCUAGGCAUGUUGUCUAUGUCACCAGAAUAAAGAAUCUCCGGCUCUUGGCUUCACUCCACUUGAGCCAUCUGUUAUUCGGUAAAUUUCACAUCUUUUACCAUGGAAAGCUCAGCAGUACUGAUUUCAGGAUAUUCUCUUUUGUUUUAGUCUUUCUAUUGAUCACUUCUACAUACGAACGAAUAUAAGUCUGUAUAGAACUUGUAAUUUGUAAAACUACCUAAAUCUUUAUUUUCAAGUCUGCUGAUUGUGGGACUUUCUGAUAAGAUUCUUUUAUUAAUUUUUUUCAGGGCAUAUAUUUCUGCGGUGAGAAGAUUGUCUCCUUCAGUCCCACAGGAACUUGAGGAGUAUAUUACUAGUUCCUACUCUAGCAUUCGGCAAGAAGAAGCUAAAUCGAAUGCACCCCACUCCUAUACAACUGUGAGAACUCUGCUCAGCAUUCUUCGAAUAUCGGCUGUAAGUCCUGCUUUUCAUAUUUUCGUUUAUAUAAAUGCGGUUCCGUAAAUAUAUGCUGUGUAUCACAAAAGAAUGAGAUGGCAAGAAAUGAUACAGCAAUAUAUGCUGUGCAUAAAAAAUUACCGAGGUGGCGAAAUGGAAUAGUUUCUAGCCAUCUACAUUGGCAUAGGGUUUGGGGUGCAAGAAUGAUGUUCUGCCGUCUGCAUAUGUCGAAGUUCUCUUUGUGCUCAGAUGAUCGGCAGAAAUCUGGUCUGGAUCCUAUCAGUGAUAUCUAUUCAAUUUUGCGAGAUGAGUAUGAGACGACUGGCAAGCAGGAUGUGAGCUAUGCAAAUGCACUAAAUCUGAUUUCUAGGAAGGUUAGUUUUUGCAAAGCAUCUUGUGAUCGAUGUUCAGAGAUAUGACUGAAUGUCAUCUGAUGCCAAAAUAACUGCACUGCUUAUCAUGUCAAACAACUAGUACAAAACUUGGAAGUGAUAGGAAUAUAACUAUAUAAAUCAGAGUAGUAGAAAUUUAAAAUAUAUAUCUCAAAAAAUGAAAAUUCUUGGUAUUCCUGUCCGAAAUUCUAUCUAUUUCGUCUCAAGCCAUGUGGAAUGUGUGCCCUUAAAAAUGAAAAUGGCACACCUGUUUUGAUUCCUUAAAAUUUGUAAUAAUUUUUUGAUGCGGUAAAAAAAUUUCCAUGGCACUCAAAUUAAAUUAAUCACUUGUAUAUUUGUUCUUCACACACACUAGCCUAGUUACCAUUAACGAUGUAUUCUGAGAAAGCUUCUUAAGAUUCAUAUAAAACAUUCCAAAGAUGUUUAAGUAAUUUUUUUUCAUAUUCCGACUUGAAUUUUUUUUUCAAUAUAAAAAACUUACUAAUAUUUAUCUUACUUGAUAAAUGAUAAGACUGUUUUCAAAUAGCCCAUAACAUUUUCCUUUGAAGGUAUUAUUGUAGAUAAUUUGGGUUUGUGAUUGUGUAAAUUCUAGAUAGAUUUGAAUACUAGUUAUUUUUAAAGGAAAACUAAUGAAAAGGGCUUGAAAACUUUGAGUUUUAAUGAUAAGGACAAAAUAAAGGGUAAAGUGAAUAGUACCAGGAUUGACUUUUUAGUGUAAAAAUGUGGUUUUUCGUUAAAAUGAACAGUACCGGAUGCUUUUCGUUAAAGUUCCCUAUUUUUAAUCCUUUAUGAUUGUAUUUACUUGGAGGACAAGUUAAUGCUUUCCUUAUCUUCUACUAUAAAGUAUAAUUAAAGUCAUUGUGUAGGGGAAACCGGCACAAAAGCGUUGAAGCCCAAGUGGGCUAACCCUGGAUAAGGCCCAAAAAGAAUGGGUUUGAUUCGGGGCACCCAAGCUUUGCCGGGUGCGUGUGAUCGCCGGAGUUAGCUAAACGGUGCCGCCACGUUUGUGGUGUUCUCAGGCAAGGCCGAGUCGGAGUGUAAGCAAAAACCUAGUCUUGCGGAGGUCUGCGAGUGCAUAAUCCAAUUCUCAAUUCACACAGAGGAUAGAGAAGGAGAGGGAAGGAAGAGAGCAGAACAAUAGUUAUUGUUUAUAUUUUUGUGUGUAAAUUUUGAUAUCACUACAAUCCAAAGAGCAAUGCUUUGUUCACAAAAAAAAAAAGAACAAAAAAGAGCAAGUGACUAUUGCCAGCAUUUCCAACAAAUUUCCCAAAUACCAAGUAAAAACCCUCCAACAGAAACUACCAAUUUUUUCCUCCUAAAAAAAAACCUCCAGAAAAAUCCUCCGGUCCGACAGAUCCCUUCCGUCACCGUUUGCUCCACCACCGUUGCCCUCCGACUUGCCGUUACCGUUCUUGUCAUUGGCUCCCUUCUUCGGCGGUGUUGGAGGACGGGCAGCAGGAGGAGGAGGAACUCCCUUUGGUAAGGAGUGUUUGGCAACAUACUCCACUACCUCUGUGAGGUAUUUCAUGUUCUCUGAGUUUUUUUUAACCUCCUGAAGCAAAUACUGGAGUCGUUCCUCCACUUCAUUGUUCAAUGAAGCUGGCAUUUUGAACAAUGAGGUGGAGGAACGACUCCAGUAUUUGCUUCGGAAGGUUAAAAACAAACUCAGAGAACAUGAAAUACCUCACAUAGGUAAUGGAGUAUGUUGCCGAACACUCCCUUCCAAAGGGAGUUCCUCCUCCUCCUGCCCGUCCUCCAGCACCACCGAAGGAGGGAGCCAAUGACAAGAACAGUAAUGGCAAGUCGGAGGGCAAGGGUGGAGGAGCAAACGACAAGGGUGGCAAAGCAAACGGUGACGGAGGGGAUCUGCUGGAACCGGAUGAUUUUUCUGGAGUUUUUUUUUUUAGGAGCAAAAAGUUGGUAGUUUUUACUUGGUAUUUGUUGGAAAUGCUGGCAGUAGUCACUUGCUCUUUUUUUUGGUGAACGGAGCAUUGCUCUUUGGUUUGUAGUGAUAUCAAAAUUUACACACAAAAAUAUAAAUAAUAACUAUUGCUCUGUUGUCUCUCUUCCUUCCCUCUCUCUCUGUGAGAAUUGGAUUCUGCACUCGCAGACCUCCGCAAGGCUGUGGGUUUUUGGUUACACCUCGACUUGGCCUCGCCUGAGAACACCACAAACGUGGCGGCGCUGUUUAGCUAACUCCGGCGAUCACACGCACCCGGCAAAGCUUGGGUGCCCCGAAUCAAACCCACUCUUUUUGGGCCUUGUCCAAGGUUAGCCCACUUGGGCUUCAACCCUUUUGGGCCUGUUUCCCCUACACAAUAACUCUAAUUAUACUUUAUAGUAGAAGAUAAGGAAAGCAUUAACUUGUCCUCCAAGUAAAUACAAUCAUAAAAAAUAACUAGUAUUCAAAUCUAUCUAGGAUUUACACAAUCCCAAAUUAUCUACAAUGGUACCUUCAAAGGAAAACGUUAUGGGCUAUUCAAAAACGAUCUUAUCAUUUAUCAAGUAAGAUAAAUAUUAGUAAGUUUUUUAUAUUGAAAAAAAUAUUCAAGUUGGAAUAUGAAAAAAAAUUACUUAAACAUAUUUGGAAUGUUUUAUAUGAAUCUUAAGAAGCUUUCUUAGAAUACAUCGUUAAUGGUAACUAGGCGUGAUUAAUUUAAUUUGAGUGCCAUGGAAAUUUUUUUACCGCAUCAUAUAAAUCUACGUAGGUUUUAUCCUUUUAAAUUUACCCAUUUAUCUGUGCUAUACGAUAUGAUCUAAUUAUCUCAUCGUACAUUUCGGAAAGUGAUCCUCUCUGAAUCUCUUCCACCAAGAUCAUCGGAUCAAGUGAUCCGGGCCUUCCAAAUUUCAUCUAACGGGAAAAAUUUAUUACAAAUCUCGAUUAGCAAUUGAGUUGUGGAUUAUUGAUUAGAUUCAGUGGAUAGAACACGAUUUUGGACACGUCUUGUCCAACAUGUAUAGUUUUGUGUGUUUUUACCGUAGAAUUAAGAUGUAGGAUAUUGAAUACGUGUUUCAAAUAUUUAUGUAUCAAAUACGAAGAGAUUUUUUUCACUGGGUGUGGAACGCGUGUGUCUUAGAUCUCAUUUAAAUUAGGCCUCUUACCUUUCAUCAUUUAUCGUAUUGUUGAUCAAGAAGAGGAAAAAAAAUAUUUACCAUCACAUCUAUUUUUCUCAUUCCACCAAGCUCGAUCUUGAGACACUAAACAUUGUAGUUUGGAGAGUGAACAAAAAUGUUUACUAAUCCACCGCAAUCAUAAUCAAAAUAAGGAGUUGGUAUUUGUAGACAUACUAUAACUAUUCAUGUACACGCUAACUAUAAAAAAGACGAAACGCAACUGGAGCCCAUACAAACUAAGAAAUUGAUAUGUUAACUUUGGGUUUGAAGGAGCGGGUAUCUGACUUAGAAACAUCAAACACGCCAUUAAGAAUUAAUUAUGACCUUGCUCGAUUUCUCUAACUCUUUUGCCCAUUGUGCACGUACAUUUUCUAUGGUCGUAGAUCUCAAUGGCAAGGCUGAAAAUGAGUGGCCGAAUGAGCUCCCAUCGAAUCCCGAAAACAACAUUUGUGACACUGGAGUGAUGAGUAGGGGAAUCUAAGGGUACAACAAAGUGAAUCAAAUAUGUAAUAUUUGAUGUAACAGAAAACGUUAUAGUGCGAAUACAAAUUGGUACAUAUAAUUAGCAUGGGUAUAUUUAGCAAAAUAAAAAAUAGGUACAUAUAAAUAAAAAUAAAUAUAGGUACAAAUACAAAUAAAACUUUAUAAAAUAUAGGCACAAAAAGAAAUUAAUAUAUGGGUACAAAUUAAAACUGAAAAGAAAAUUAAUACGGGUACAAACUAAAAAUAAAAUAUAUGAUAAAAAAUUUAGGUAUAAAUAUAAAUAUACUAAUUGUAACAUUUUUAACAUUAAAUGAAUAUAUUUACAAAAUAAAAAUAUUUUAUUAUUGAAAUAAUUAAUGAUGUUACUAAUAUAAAGGAUUUUGAUCAAAAAUUAAAAAUGAAUAAGGUUUUAAUAAAUGAAAUAGCAAAAGGAAGGAUAGACCUAAUUUCUCAUAAAAAAAAUUGUUCUUAAAAAAAUAAACAUCUUUCUCUCACUAAAGGUCACAUCUUUCUCUAUUUUUCUCUUUAAAGGUCACAUCUUUCCCUGGCUGACUCUCACCCAAGGUCUAAAAUAUCGAUGAUAUCGAAAAUAUCGGUAGUCCAAAAAUACGGAAAUUUCGAUGAAAAUAUCGAGAUAUUAUCGAUGUCGAUAAAAAUUGAAUAAAAACCACGGAAAUUGUAAGAAAAACUUGGAAAUUUUUAUUGAAACUUUGCAGGAUGUUUAUUUAGUCAAUUAUCUAUCAGUUUAUCACAAAAAAUUGGAAGAAAAUGCAUUGCAUGAUGGAUUUAACUGAUUUAAGUUGAUUAUACAACGAGCUGUCAAACAUUGUGAGUGUAGAAAAUAUGUAGUAAUUAAUGAAAGAAGUUUAAACACACCAUAAUCAUUUAUAUAUAAUGAAUUAGUACAAUAUUUUACACUUUAUACAUUGCAUGAUAAGAUACAUGAGUGACUUAGGCCCCGUUUGGGAUUGAGGUGAUUUUAAAAAAAGCCACUGUGAAAAAAAGCUGAGGGUCAUUUUUGUGUUUGGUAAACUGAAAAAAAAGGGCUUAUUUUGGAAGCUGCUGUGAGAAUAAGCUGAAAAUCAAAGGAAAAGCUGAAGCUGCUAUUUGCUGCUUUGAAAAAAAGCCAGUUUUUUCAAAGCACACGGAGCUACAGUGCUCCUUUAAUGAAAAGACACACUAUCAUCCUGCUUUUUUUUCCAAAAGCACUUUCACAAAAAAGUUUACCAAACACUCUACUGGCUUUAUUUCACAGCCGCUUAUUCUCACAGCACAGCCGCUUAUUCUUACAGCAGCUUUUUUUCAAAGCACAGCAAUACCAAACCAGCCCUUAGUACCACAUAAAGUUCCUAUCAAGGUCUACAAUAUCGAUGAUAUCGGAAAUAUCAGUAGUUCAAAAACACGAAAAUUUCGAUGGAAAUAUCGGGAUAAUAUCGAUAUUUUAGACCUUGUUCUCACCCAAGUUCUAAAAUAUCGAUGAUAUCGGAAAUAUCAGUAGUUCAAAAAUACGGAAAUUUCGAUGGAAAUAUCGCGAUAUUAUCGAUGUUGAUAAAAAUUGAAUAAAAACCACGGAAAAUGUAAGAAAAACUUGGAAAUUUUUAUUGAAACUUUGCAGGAUGUUUAUUUAGUCAAUUAUCUAUUAGUUUAUCACAAAAUAUUGAACGGAAAUGCAUUGCAUGAUGGAUUUAACUGAUUUAAGUUGAUUAUAUAACGAGCUGGCAAACAUUGUGAGUGUAGAAAAUAUGUAGUAAUUAAUUAAAGAAUUUUAAACACACCAUAAUCAUUUCUAUAUAAUGAAUUAGUACAAUAUUUUACACUUUAUACAUUGCAUGGUAAGAUACAUGAGUGACUUAGUACCACAUAAAGUUCCUAUGAAGGUCUAAAAUAUCGGUAGUCCAAAAACAAGGAAAUUUCGAUCGAAAUAUUAAGAUAAUAUCGAUAUUUUAGACCUUGUCUCACCAAAGGUCUAAAAUAUCGAUGAUAUCGGAAAUAUCGGUAGUCCAAAAAUACAGAAAUUUCGAUGGAAAUAUCGGGAUAUUAUCGAUGUUGAUAAAAAUUGAAUAAAAACCACAAAAAUUGUAAGAAAAACUUGGAAAUUUUUAUUGAAACUUUGCAGGAUGUUUAUUUAGUCAAUUAUCUAUUAGUUUAUCACAAAAAAUUGGAAAGAAAUGCAUUGCAUGAUGGAUUUAACUGAUUUAAAUUGAUUAUAUAGCGAGUUGGCAAACAUUGUGAGUGUAGAAAAUAUGUAGUAAUUAAUGAAAGAAGUUUAAACACACCAUAAUCAUUUAUAUAUAAUGAAUUAGUACAAUAUUUUACACUUUAUACAUUGCAUGAUAAGAUACAUGAGUGACUUAGUACCACAUAAAGUUCCUAUCAAGGUCUAAAAUAUCGAUGAUAUCGGAAAUAUCGGUAGUCCAAAAACACGAAAAUUUCGAAGGAAAUAUCGAGAUAAUAUCGAUAUUUUAGACCAUCACCUCACUCCCUCUCUCGCUCUGACUCUCACCUCAAUCCCUCUCUCUCGCUCUGACUCUCACCUCACUCCCUCUCUCGCCCAAUGUUUCGCUCCGCCGGUAGCGUGUCUCAUAUCUUUAAAAAACUCAAGGCUACUGUAAGAGGCGUAGGCGGAGGCGGUGCCUAAACACCGAAUAUUAAGGUAGAGCUUAACAUUUCGGUGUCCCACCCGAAAAAUGUCGUUCGAGUCACCUCCCACCCCGACAACUAGGAGAUGGCGAUGAGACUCGCAGCUGCUGCUCACCCUGUGAGGGUAGACUUCUUUGACCAGCUAGCCCAGUUCAAUUUGAUGGUUGCAACGGGAGAGUUUGCCAUGAAAGUCAACCGAGUAUUUGUCAAAGUUAAAAAAAGUGGCCUGAACGAAGCUGUGAAAGGCGUUGUGAAAGGUGAUGUGUGCUCUUUCAAGACGAAUGCCUGUCUGGAUUACUUGCUUGCGGAAUCCCAAACACACUUGCUCGAGAUGAAAUACAUCACAGAAAUGAUCGAGCGUGUUGCAAAGUAUUCUGGGUGUCCUCCUCCUCCCCGUCCUCCAGCAUCGUCGUCAAAGGAGGAAGCCAAGUGCAAUGGUGGCGGAUCAAAAGUCAAUGGUGGCGGAACAAACGAUGAUGGAGCAAAAGGCAAUGGUGGCGGAGACGGAGGGAUCCCCCGGUACCUGUUGAUUUUUUUUUACUAAGUAUUGACUGUCAUUACCCUUACUUGUCCUGUGCUAAAAACCAAAAAAGUUGUUAGACUUGAUCGUGAGCGGAGCAUAGAGAGAAUGACACCAACUGUCAUUUUUGGGAAAUUUGAAUUUAUGAUGAUCUUUUUUUUUUUGUAUUUAUUCUGAUCAAGGUAAAAUAACUGCAACUAUAAUAAGACAAAUCCACCAACUCACUUUUGAUUUCCUUAUGCUACAAGAAUAGAAAUCACAAUUUGACAAAUAAAAAGUUCAUUAAAAUUUUGAAGAAGAAGAAAAAAAAAACAAAAAAAAAAAAUCUUCCUCGGAAUCGCUUAGGUACAGCAACGUAUUCGACAUGAAUCACCAUCACAUCUAUUUUUCUCAUUCCACCAAGCUCGAUCGUGAGACACUAAACAUUGUAGUUUGGACAGUGAACAAAAAUGUUUACUAAUCCACCGCAAUCAUAAUCAAACAAGGAGUUAGUAUUUGUAGACAUACUAUAACUAUUCAUGUACACACUAACUAUAAAAAAGACGAAACGCGACUGGAGCCCAUACAAACUAAUAAAUUGAUCAGUUAAUUUUGGGUUUGAAGGAGCGGGUAUUCUGACUCAGAAACAUCAAACACGCCAUUAAGAAUUAAUUAUGACCUUGCUCGAUUUCUCUAACUCUUUUGCCCAUUGUGCACGUACAUUUUCUAUGGCUGUAGGAUCUUAAUGGCAAGGCUGAAAAUGAGUGGUCGGAUGAGCUCCCAUUGAAUCCCGAAAACAACAUUUGCGACACUGGAGUGAUGAAUAGGGGAAUCUAAGGGUACAACAAAGUGCAUCAAAGAAUGUAAUAUUUGAUGUAACAGAAAACGUUAUAGUGCGAAUACAAAUUGGUACAUAUAAUUAGCAUGGGUAUAUUUAGCAAAAUAAAAAAUUGGUACAUAUAAAUAAAAAUAAAUAUAGGUACAAAUACAAAUAAAACUUUAUAAAAUAUAGGCACAAAAAGAAAUUAAUAUAUGGGUACAAAUUAAAACUGAAAAGAAAAAUUAAUACGGGUACAAACUAAAAAAUAAAAUAUAUGAUAAAAAAUUUAGGUAUAAAUAUAAAAUAUACUAAUUGUAACAUUUUUAACAUUAAAUGAAUAUAUUUACAAAAUAAAAAUAUUUUAUUAUUGAAAUAAUUAAUGAUGUUACUAAUAUAAAGGAUUUUGAUCAAAAAUUAAAAAUGAAUAAGGUUUUAAUAAAUGAAAUAGCAAAAGGAAGGAUAGACCUAAUUUCUCAUAAAAAAAAUUGUUCUUAAAAAAAUAAACAUCUUUCUCUCACUAAAGGUCACAUCUUUCUCUAUUUUUCUCUUUAAAGGUCACAUCUUUCCCUGGCUGACUCUCACCCAAGGUCUAAAAUAUCGAUGAUAUCGAAAAUAUCGGUAGUCCAAAAAUACGGAAAUUUCGAUGAAAAUAUCGAGAUAUUAUCGAUGUCGAUAAAAAUUGAAUAAAAACCACGUAAAUUGUAAGAAAAACUUGGAAAUUUUUAUUGAAACUUUGCAGGAUGUUUAUUUAGUCAAUUAUCUAUCAAUUUAUCAAAAACAAUUGGAAGAAAAUGCAUUGCAUGAUGGAUUUAACUUAUUUAAGUUGAUUAUACAACGAGCUGUCAAACAUUGUGAGUGUAGAAAAUAUGUAGUAAUUAAUGAAAGAAGUUUAAACACACCAUAAUCAUUUAUAUAUAAUGAAUUAGUACAAUAUUUUACACUUUAUACAUUGCAUGGUAAGAUACAUGAGUGACUUAGUACCACAUAAAGUUCCUAUCAAGGUCUAAAAUAUCGAUGAUAUCGGAAAUAUCAGUAGUUCAAAAACACGAAAAUUUCGAUGGAAAUAUCGGGAUAAUAUCGAUAUUUUAGACCUUGUUCUCACCCAAGUUCUAAAAUAUCGAUGAUAUCGGAAAUAUCAGUAGUUCAAAAAUACGGAAAUUUCGAUGGAAAUAUCGCGAUAUUAUCGAUGUUGAUAAAAAUUGAAUAAAAACCACGGAAAUUAUAAGAAAAACUUGGAAAUUUUUAUUGAAACUUUGCAGGAUGUUUAUUUAGUCAAUUAUCUAUUAGUUUAUCACAAAAUAUUGUACAGAAAUGCAUUGCAUGAUGGAUUUAACUGAUUUAAGUUGAUUAUAUAACGAGCUGGCAAACAUUGUGAGUGUAGAAAAUAUGUAGUAAUUAAUUAAAGAAUUUUAAACACACCAUAAUCAUUUCUAUAUAAUGAAUUAGUACAAUAUUUUACACUUUAUACAUUGCAUGGUAAGAUACAUGAGUGACUUAGUACCACAUAAAGUUCCUAUGAAGGUCUAAAAUAUCGAUAAUAUCAGAAAUAUCGGUAGUCCAAAAACAAGGAAAUUUCGAUCGAAAUAUUAAGAUAAUAUCGAUAUUUUAGACCUUGUCUCACCAAAGGUCUAAAAUAUCGAUGAUAUCGGAAAUAUCGGUAGUCCAAAAAUACAGAAAUUUCGAUGGAAAUAUCGGGAUAUUAUCGAUGUUGAUAAAAAUUGAAUAAAAACCACGAAAAUUGUAAGAUAAACUUGGAAAUUUUUAUUAAAACUUUGCAGGAUGUUUAUUUAGUCAAUUAUCUAUUAGUUUAUCACAAAAAAUUGGAAGGAAAUGCAUUGCAUGAUGGAUUUAACUGAUUUAAAUUGAUUAUAUAGUGAGUUGGCAAACAUUGUGAGUGUAGAAAAUAUGUAGUAAUUAAUGAAAGAAGUUUAAACACACCAUAAUCAUUUAUAUAUAAUGAAUUAGUACAAUAUGUUACACUUUAUACAUUGCAUGAUAAGAUACAUGAGUGACUUAGUACCACAUAAAGUUCCUAUCAAGGUCUAAAAUAUCGAUGAUAUCAGAAAUAUCGGUAGUCCAAAAGCUCGAAAAUUUCGAAGGAAAUAUCGAGAUAAUAUCGAUAUUUUAGACCAUCACCUCACUCCCUCUCUCGCUCUGACUCUCACCUCAAUCCCUCUCUCUCGCUCUGACUCUCACCUCACUCCCUCUCUCGCCCAAUGUUUCGCUCUGCCGGUAGCGUGUCUCAUAUCUUUAAAAAACUCAAGUCUACUGUAAGAGGCGUAGGCGGAGGCGGUGCCUAAACACCGAAUGUUAAGGUAGAGCUUAACAUUUCGGUGUCCCACCCGAAAAAUGUCGUUCGAGUCACCUCCCACCCCGACAACUAGGAGAUGGCGAUGAGACUCGCAGCUGCUGCUCACCCUGUGAGGGUAGACUUCUUUGACUAGCUAGCCCAGUUCAAUUUGAUGGUUGCAACGGGAGAGUUUGCCAUGAAAGUCAACCGAGUAUUUGUCAAAGUUAAAUAGAGUGGCCUGAACGAAGCUGUGAAAGGCGUUGUGAAAGGUGAUGUGUGCUCUUUCAAGACGAAUGCCUGUCUGGAUUACUUGCUUCCGGAAUCCCAAACACACUUUCUCGAGAUGAAAUACAUCACAGAAAUGAUCGAGCGUGUUGCAAAGUAUUUCGGGUGUCCUCCUCCUCCCCGUCCUCCAGCAUCGUCGUCAAAGGAGGAAGCCAAGUGCAAUGGUGGCGGAGCAAAAGUCAAUGGUGUCGGAACAAACGAAGACGGAGCAAAAGGCAAUGGUGGCGGAGACGGAGGGAUCCCCCGGAACCUGUUGAUUUUUUUUUACUAAGUAUUGACUGUCAUUACCCUUACUUGUCCUGUGCUAAAAACCAAAAAAGUUGUUAGACUUGAUCGUGGGCGGAGCAUAGAGAGAAUGACACCAACUGUCAUUUUUGGGAAAUUUGAAUUUAUGAUGAUCUUUUUUUUUUGUAUUUAUUCUGAUCAAGGUAAAAUAACUGCAACUAUAAUAAGACAAAUCCACCAACUCACUUUUGAUUUCCUUAUGCUACAAGAAUAGAAAUCACAAUUUGACAAAUAAAAAGUUCAUUAAAAUUUUGAAGAAGAAGAAAAAAAAAACAAAAAAAAAAAAAAUCUUCCUCGGAAUCGCUUAGGUACAGUAACGUAUUCGACAUGAAUCACCAUCACAUCUAUUUUUCUCAUUCCACCAAGCUCGAUCGUGAGACACUAAACAUUGUAGUUUGGACAGUGAACAAAAAUGUUUACUAAUCCACCGCAAUCAUAAUCAAAACAAGGAGUUGGUAUUUGUAGACAUACUAUAACUAUUCAUGUACACACUAACUAUAAAAAAGACGAAACGCGACUGGAGCCCAUACAAACUAAUAAAUUGAUCAGUUAAUUUUGGGUUUGAAGGAGCGGGUAUUCUGACUCAGAAACAUCAAACACGCCAUUAAGAAUUAAUUAUGACCUUGCUCGAUUUCUCUAACUCUUUUGCCCAUUGUGCACGUACAUUUUCUAUGGCUGUAGGAUCUUAAUGGCAAGGCUGAAAAUGAGUGGUCGGAUGAGCUCCCAUUGAAUCCCGAAAACAACAUUUGUGACACUGGAGUGAUGAAUAGGGGAAUCUAAGGGUACAACAAAGUGCAUCAAAGAAUGUAAUAUUUGAUGUAACAGAAAACGUUAUAGUGCGAAUACAAAUUGGUACAUAUAAUUAGCAUGGGUAUAUUUAGCAAAAUAAAAAAUUGGUACAUAUAAAUAAAAAUAAAUAUAGGUACAAAUACAAAUAAAACUUUAUAAAAUAUAGGCACAAAAAGAAAUUAAUAUAUGGUUACAAAUUAAAACUGAAAAGAAAAUUAAUACGGGUACAAACUAAAAAUAAAAUAUAUGAUAAAAAAUUUAGGUAUAAAUAUAAAUAUACUAAUUGUAACAUUUUUAACAUUAAAUGAAUAUAUUUACAAAAUAAAAAUAUUUUAUUAUUGAAAUAAUUAAUGAUGUUAUUAAUAUAAAGGACCUUGAUCAAAAAUUAAAAAUGAAUAAGAUUUUAAUAAAUGAAAUAGCAAAAGGAAGGAUAGACCUAAUUUCUCAUAAAAACAAUUGUUCUUAAAAAAAUAAACAUCUUUCUCUCACUAAAGGUCACAUCUUUCUCUAUUUUUCUCUUUAAAGGUCACAUCUUUUCCUGGCUGACUCUCACCCAAGGUUUAAAAUAUCGAUGAUAUCGAAAAUAUCGGUAGUCCAAAAAUACGGAAAUUUCGAUGAAAAUAUCGAGAUAUUAUCGAUGUCGAUAAAAAUUGAAUAAAAACCACGAAAAUUGUAAGAAAAACUUGGAAAUUUUUAUUGAAACUUUGCAGGAUGUUUAUUUAGUCAAUUAUCUAUCAGUUUAUCACAAAAACUUAGAAGGAAAUGAAUUGCAUGAUGGAUUUUACUAAUUUAAGUGGAUUAUACAACGAGCUGUCAAACAUUUUGAGUGUAGAAAAUUUGUAGUAAUUAAUGAAAGAAGUAUAAACACACCAUAAUCAUUUAUAUAUAAUGAAUUAGGACAAUAUUUUACACUUUAUACAUUGCAUGGUAAGAUACAUGAGUGACUUAGUACCACAUAAAGUUCUAUCAAGGUCUAAAAUAUCGAUGAUAUCGGAAAUAUCAGUAGUUCAAAAACACGGAAAUUUCGAUGGAAAUAUCGGGAUAAUAUCGAUAUUUUAGACCUUGUUCUCACCCAAGUUCUAAAAUAUCGAUGAUAUCGGAAAUAUCAGUAGUUCAAAAAUACGGAAAUUUCGAUGGAAAUAUCGGGAUAUUAUCGAUGUCGAUAAAAAUUGAAUAAAAACCACGGAAAAUGUAAGAAAAACUUGGAAAUUUUUAUUGAAACUUUGCAGGAUGUUUAUUUAGUCAAUUAUCUAUUAGUUUAUCACAAAAUAUUGGAAGGAAAUGCAUUGCAUGAUGGAUUUAACUGAUUUAAGUUGAUUAUAUAACGAGCUGGCAAACAUUGUGAGUGUAGAAAAUAUGUAGUAAUUAAUGAAAGAAGUUUAAACACACCAUAAUCAUUUCUAUAUAAUGAAUUAGUACAAUAGUUUACACUUUAUACAUUGCAUGGUAAGAUACAUGAGUGACUUAGUACCACAUAAAGUUCCUAUGAAGGUCUAAAAUAUCGAUGAUAUCAGAAAUAUCGGUAGUCAAAAAACACAGAAAUUUUGAUGGAAAUAUUAAGAUAAUAUCCAUAUUUUAGACCUUGUCUCACCCAAGGUCUAAAAUAUCGAUGAUAUCGGAAAUAUCGAUAGUCCAAAAAUACGGAAAUUUCGAUGGAAAUAUCGGGAUAUUAUCGAUGUCGAUAAAAAUUGAAUAAAAACCACGAAAAUUGUAAGAAAAACUUGGAAAUUUUUAUUGAAACUUUGCAGGAUGUUUAUUUAGUCAAUUAUCUAUUAGUUUAUCACAAAACAUUGGAAAGAAAUGCAUUGCAUGAUGGAUUUAACUGAUUUAAAUUGAUUAUAUAGUGAGUUGGCAAACAUUGUGAGUGUAAAAAAUAUGUAGUAAUUAAUGAAAGAAGUUUAAACACACCAUAAUCAUUUAUAUAUAAUGAAUUAGUACAAUAUUUUACACUUUAUACAUUGCAUGAUAAGAUACAUGAGUGACUUAGUACCACAUAGAGUUCCUAUCAAGGUCUAAAAUAUCGAUGAUAUCGGAAAUAUCGGUAGUCCAAAAACACGAAAAUUUCGAUGAAAAUAUCGAGAUAAUAUCGAUAUUUUAGACCAUCACCUCACUCCCUCUCUCGCUCUGACUCUCACCUCACUCCCUCUCUCGCCCAAUGUUUCGCUCCGCCGGUAGCGUGUCUCAUAUCUUUAAAAAACUCAAGGCUACUGUAAGAGGCAGAGGCGGAGGUGGUGCCUGAACACCGAAUGUUAAGGUAGAGCUUAACAUUUCGGUGUCCCACCCGAAAAAUGUCGUUCGAGUCACCUCCCACCCCGACAACCAGGGGAUGGCGAUGAGACUCGCAGCUGCUGCUCACCCUGUGAGGGUAGACUUCUUUGACCAGCUAGCCUAGUUCAAUUUGAUGGUUGCAACGGGAGAGUUUGCCAUGAAAGUCAACCGAGUAUUUGUCAAAGUUAAAUAGAGUGGCCUGAACGAAGCUGUGAAAGGCGUUGUGAAAGGUGAUGUGUGCUAUUUCAAGACGAAUGCCCGUUUGGAUUACUUGCUUGUGGAAUCCCAAACACACUUGCUCGAGAUGAAAUACAUCACAGAAAUGAUCGAGCGUGUUGCAAAGUAUUCCGGGUGUCCUCCUCCUCCCCGUCCUCCAGCAUCGUCGUCAAAGGAGGAAGCCAAGCGCAAUGGUGGCGGAUCAAAAGUCAAUGGUGGCGGAACAAACGAUGGCGGAGCAAAAGGCAAUGGUGGCGGAGACGGAGGGAUCCGCCGGAACCUGUAGAUUUUUUUUACUAAGUAUUGACUGUCAUUACCCUUACUUGUCCUGUGCUAAAAACCAAAAAAGUUGUUAGACUUGAUCGUGGGCGGAGCAUAGAGAGAAUGACACCAACUGUCAUUUUUGGGAAAUUUGAAUUUAUGAUGAUCUUUUUUUUUUGCCUUUAUUCUGAUCAAGGUAAAAUAACUGCAACUAGAAUAAGACAAAUCCACCAACUCACUUUUGAUUUCCUUAUGCUACAUGAAUAGAAAUCACAAUUUGACAAAUAACAAGUUCAUUAAAAUUUUGAAGAAGAAGGAAAAAAAAAAAAAAAAAAAAAUCUUCCUCGGAAUCGCUUAGGUACAGCAACGUAUUCGACAUGAAUCACCAUCACAUCUAUUUUUCUCAUUCCACCAAGCUCGAUCGUGAGACACUAAACAUUGUAGUUUGGAGAGUGAACAAAAAUGUUUACUAAUCCACCGCAAUCAUAAUCAAAACAAGGAGUUGGUAUUUGUAGACAUACUAUAACUAUUCAUGUACACACUACCUAUAAAAAAGACGAAACACGACUGGAGCCCAUACAAACUAAUAAAUUGAUCUGUUAAUUUUGGGUUUGAAGGAGCGGGUAUUCUGACUUAGAAACAUCAAACACGCCAUUAAGAAUUAAUUAUGACCUUGCUCGAUUUCUCUAACUCUUUUGCCCAUUGUGCACGUACAUUUUCUAUGGCUGUAGGAUCUCAAUGGCAAGGCUGAAAAUGAGUGGCUGUAUGAGCUCCCAUUGAAUCCCAAAAACAACAUUUGUGACACUGGAGUGAUGAGUAGGGGAAUCUAAGGGUACAACAAAGUGCAUCAAAGAAUGUAAUAUUUGAUGUAACAGAAAACGUUAUAGUGCGAAUACAAAUUGGUACAUAUAAUUAGCAUGGGUAUAUUUAGCAAAAUAAAAUAUUGGUACAUAUAAAUAAAAAUAAAUAUAGGUACAAAUACAAAUAAAACUUUAUAAAAUAUGGGCACAAAAAGAAAUUAAUAUAUGAGUACAAAUUAAAAUUGAAAAGAAAAUUAAUACGGGUACAAGUAGUAUAACAUUUUUGUUUAUCGAUUUGGACUUAAUUGGCUUAUUAUACUGAACGUAGUAGGGUAAUGAUAUGUCACUUAUAAGCUAAUGUAGAUUGAGCGAAACUAAAGUUUGGUUAUAAGGUGUUUGAACUCCGUGCCUUGUGGUUUAGGCCAAUGAAAUUUGAGCGAAAUUGAAAUUUGGUUAUGAGGUGUUCGAACUCCCCUACCCCCUUAGUAUUACAUUCUAAGCGUUUAUUCUGCUUACCAUACCAAAACAUUUUUCUUGUUUUGGGUACGUCAAAUUUGCUUAUUGCUGUUGUUGGCUUCCUUGCUUAGCUUUUGGAACCUAAAAUUCCCAUAUAAGGUUGGAGGGACGGUGAGGAUGCGGACGCCAUUAGCCGCUGCCAAAGAUGAACUUAUCGAACCUUCUUGACUCGACAUGUUCAGGUAGAGAGAAAGAGUGGUCGGUAUUGUAUUGUAUUGGGUUGGCUCCAAAUGUCCCCACCACAAAGUGCCGACCACUUGCAUUAAACCUUAAAAGGUUCCAAUUCCACGUUUUGUUUUUAACAAAAAAAGAGCAUUCAUUAGAGAGAGUGUCUCCGAUUACAACCAGUUUGCAUACAAUCAAAUAUGUAUUAUUAUUUAUCUGAAUAAUACACAGUUAUGGACCUUUAUUAAUCAUGUGACGACCCGUAGAAGUUGAACCAUUCUUGGACGAACCGAAUCAUUCAUCAACGAACCAACAUUCAGCUCAAUAUCAUAGCACGUUUUAGGCGUCUGCUGUAAAGACCAGGUGCCGAUGAUCAGGCCUGUUAAAGAGGGUCAGCUGCCAUUGAUAAAAAAAAAAAAAAAAAAAAAACGGACAGGGGUAUUUUCAUUCAGAACAUAAUCCAGAGUUAGUUUGUCAGGUCACAUCAACCAUUCGUGCCAUAUGCUAUUAUAUAUGCAAGAGGCAGAUUCUCUGCUCCUUUUUUCCCAUACACUUUCAUCAUUCCCUUAUUUAUGUGGUCAAGGUUAAGUCACGUCAAUAUUUUAUAUUGAUUUUUUUAUAAAAAUAAUAAGACAAAGUGGUUUAACCGCGAUCACACAAACAGAGGGAUGCUGGAAGUGUAUGGGAAAAAAAGGAGCAGAGAAUCUGCCUCCAUAUAUGCAAUGGUUGUGAAUUUUUGUAUAGAGAAAGAUGAUCUCUCUACACUAUAGCUAGCAUCUAUAUAGACUAUAUUCCAUUCCAAGGCGUGCCAAGAAGAACAAGAAGCUGAAGAAAAAUAGCUCACAUAUCCUCUUCUUUUGUUUUUUUUAUUUUUUUUCAAGAGCAACUGAAAGUACCUCUGCAGUCGUUAUCAUAUAAAAUUUUAAUUCCGACAAGAUACGACUAAUAGGAUUACGUUGCCUUUUUUUUCUCUUCUCAAUCCCCAAAAGUAUUGAUAGUAAAAUUGAAACCAAACGGGAAACUAAAUGGAAAAAGAAAUUUGUUCCAAAAUAUUCAAUCCCACCACAAAGACAUGAUUGAAUUAGAUGGUAACCCUAAAUCUCAAAAUUGAUCUGAAGGACUGACAAUUUCAAUAGAUAUCAAACUCGCAUCGCAUAAUCACAGUUUCAGUUAAAAACAAUUGGGGUACUCGGUACCUCAACGUUUUCAUCAAAUGAUCAUCAAAUUAAAACUAACGUUGGAUUCCAGAUAUAUCCCAGUAGGCGUGUGUAAUGUAACCUAGCUAUACCUCUAUUCGAGCACACAACACACAAGCAUAAAUGUUUAAAUUAUUUAAUAAAUGUCUUAGGAAACGGCUAAUGUCAGUCCAUUAUUCUCUUAUAUACUUGAUGUGGAUGAGAGAAUGGCGUAUAUAAACUAUUUUUUCUGAAGUCGAUUGUUAGACCAUCUAUAAUCCUUGAGAAAAAGCUUAAAAAUUUAAGCUUGAAAACUGCAAACUCCUUCAAUGAUUACAGCUUAAAAUUUUAACUAGAGAUUAAUAAAUAAUGAUUUUAGCUAAAUUUUUUUCUUCGGUAACUUUUAUGAAAAUAAAAUUUCUGUAGAGUAUUUUAAUUUACGUUUAUGAAUAUUUUAAUUUAAAAACAUUUAAAUUCCAGUAACUAAUUAAAAAUCAUACAAAUAAUUUUCUUCAUAAAAAAAAUAAAAAAAUAAAAAAAUAAAAAAAUAUAUGUGUUUUAAGGGAGGUUUGAAUGUUGAAGAACCACUUGUAUUUAUAACGCCAACACACUUGAUGCUUGCCGUGGGUAUCAAAGCUGCCAGAUGUAAUAUUCCCAAUAAUAUGAAAUACUCCCGCAUGCAUGCAUUCCAUUUUUUUGUUGGGAGAUGAUGACAACGCACACAUUCCCCACCUUUCUGGGAUGUGAUAAUGUUCUUUUAUAUCUUUAGGGAUGUGAUAAUGCGGCUCCAGUGGAUAUAAUGCAUGCAAUUGCCAUGCAAACUUAUGGUCAAAUCCCCAACAUGAUCCGGAUCCUUUUGUUGAUCAUCAUGGGAAUUUGUAAAUGAUGUAUGUUCAUCGUACAUCAUGCGAUCAGUCUUUAUGAGGUAUUAUUGUGUUUAAUUUUAAAUAAAAAAUAUUUAAAAUGAUUUCUGACCGCAUGAUGUACAAUGAACGGACACAACUCACAGAUCUCUGGGAUCCUCACAAAAAGAAUCCGGCAAAGAUCCAGAUUCGUCAAAUCCAAACUAUUGCUAUCCAUAAUAAUAGUGAAUUAUUAUACCAUCACCUAAUCCAAACGAUUUGAUGCAAUCCUUGUGGAUGCAAAUUUCUUUUUCCUUAUUCGUGGAUAAAAUUGCACCUACAAAACAAAUAACACCUUAGGUCAAGGCCAAGAGCCUCACGCACCCACGAUGAAUGGGGGGGGCUUUGGCCGAAGAACCUCUGAUGCCAAAGUUAGAAUUUGGAUAGAAAAGUGUUUGAAGAGUUUUUGGGAGUUUUGCAACAGUGUGGAACUCCCUUUUUUAGAGAAAAUGAGGUGAUAUAUAUAGGGCAUGACCGGUCCCCUUUGGAGAAAAGAUGGCCGGCCCUUUAGGGUAUUUUUGUGUGAGAUGGGUCAUUUAAUUGGGCAAUUAAUGGAUUAAUUAGGUAAUAAAUCCAUUAAUUAGCCAAUUAACUCAAUUUAUAUGGAAUGUUUUGAAGGUUAUGGAAUAAAGACCUUAUGGAGAAUAUAGGAUGAGAAUGGAUGAAAUAAUUUUGAAUUUGUUACCUAUUUUGGGCAUUUUUGGCUUGAUUGAAUAAUGAUUGUCCACUGCUCGCGUGUAGGAAAUCCGGUAUGCCUCGAGGGUAAUUUUGUCAUUUUUACCAAAAAUCCACGUAUCGCCUUGUGAUUAUUUUUGGCUCCACAAAUGCCCCCACACCUGCUGGCCUGCUUGUAGGAAAGGGUAGCAUGUGUAGAGAUUUUCUUGCUCUAGGAAAUUUAGGACUGCUUCCUAUUUUGAUGUAGAUUCCCUCUUUAAUAUGAAAUUAGAUCUUUCUAGGAAAGGGAAAUAAAUUUCUCUCAAAGCCUAUUUAAGUCCACCUUAAGUGGGUUGUUAAAUCAACUUUGGAGAACGAUUAUUCUACCAUACAAGAGAGAGAAAGCUUAGAGGAUAUUUGUUCCCCCUCAUCUAGCAAUCUUCUACAUCUUGCCCGCGCAAAUAACCGUAUUUCAUUGCUUUCUUUGUUGUCUCCGUGCCGCACUGAUGUAAGAAAAAUUUCAUUUUUCUUGUCUUCUUCUUGAAUAGUAUUAUCGUUGGGUAGCCGUCGGGGUGGUGCGUCGCGUCGGUUGGCAGGGGCUAAGAGUUAGCUUGGCGUGGGCCAAAGAGGUGGUGUGGCAGGGGCCAUUGCUUAUGCUGCUCGGCUUGAUUGAAGCUAAUGAUUGGCUCGAUAGGGGCUGAGGAAGUGGCAUGGCAUGGGCAACGGUUUGGGCUGCCACGUCUUGGCUGCUCGCUAAAAAUGAGAAAACUGCUUGAGUUGGAUUUCUCAGUUGCCGCAGAUGGAGCAGUCAAGGAUGAAGUUGCCAAGAUCGGAUGAGCGAACUGUUAAAUGUAAAAGUGGAUACUGCCUUUAACCAUUUGUUGCCUAGUUGAUCUUCAAGCAUUCGAUAUUUUGAGCUAUGUGGCAUUCUCGCACUAAAGAGCUUACCCAGAUGGGUCUCGGGGAUUUAGUUUACCCUUUCGCACUGGAAAGCAAUUAGUUUACCCUCUCGCACUGGAGAACAAUUAGUUUAUCCUAUCGCUCUGGAGAGAAAACCCAUAUGGGUGUCGGGGGAUUGGUUUACCCUCUCACACUUGAGAGCAUGAAAGUCGUUGUCGUGAGUGCAGCUGAGGAAAGCUGGACUACUGGACAAUUGAAAUAAUCCUCAGCCUGCGAGGUCUUGUUUGGCAAACUGCUUGAGACUUUGAACUUCUUAUAGAACCCAUGUAAGGGUGUAAGCGCAUUGAGCUGCUCCCAUAAUUAUUGCGCUAUCAUUAGGUGUUUCAUUGUGUGCCUUUUUUAGGCUUGGUUGGCGCGAGCCACAAGGAAAGAUCGGCACGGCUGGGAGCCGUGGUGUAAGAUUGGCACAGUUAUGAGCCAUAACGAUAGAUUAAUGGCUGCCCGGAGCCAUGGAAAAGGCAGGCACGACUGUGAAACUAGAGCAGGGGCUAGCUUGGGCUAGGUUGUGCGCAGGAAGAGGAAUUGUCUGGAGUGUUGAGAACAAGGUCUGCCCUCGGUUCUUGGUAGUUGGGCUGGUGUGUCAUUCUGGUACUCGUCUACCCCCGGCGUGCCAUUAGGCUAAGCUGAUGCGUUUGUUGGAACAAAAGUAGUCUUUAUAUUCGGCAAUCUAUGUGGGAUAGUCUCGUCUGCUCAAUCUUGUCAUUUAAAGAUGACUCGAUCUUGUCAUUGAAAGAUGACUCCCUUAAUUGAAUUAAGGGAGAUGAAUUAAGGGAGACUAGGUGGUUACCUAGUAAAGUUGUGUGCGGCGGCGGGGAGAGAGUGUAGCGUUGGAGUGCGCCGGAAGUGAGACGGAGAGUGAAAGAGAGACAUAGAAACCGAGGGAGUGCAAGAGAGGGAGAGAUGGAGACACUGAAAUUGAGUAUGAGAUAGAGAGAGAUAGAGUGAAGAGGUUAACAUAAUCGAGAGAAAUAGUAGUUACAGAGAACUGAGAAAGAGAUGAGUUUCUGGGAGGAGUUAAAUUUUGAGUGAGUGAAAUGAAUUGAAGGCGCCGAAAUACAAACGAGCCCAAUUGUGGGAAAAAAAAAAUCAAAUUUUUACAUGUUUGCGCGACGAAUAUGUUUAAACUUGCGUCGCGCAACCAAUUAUAUUAAAAAAAUAUUCAUUUUUAAUAUUUGCGCGACAAACAUGUAUAAAAGCGUCGUCACACAUACCUGUAAAUUUAAUUUAUUUUUUGGUUUAAAUAUGUUGAUUCACAAAAUCCGGCAGAUCUUGGACCAACGUAAAUCCAGUCGUGAAUCACACAAACGCACAAGAACACAAAGAUGUAUCGUGGUUUACCCUAAUGUUUGGGCUACAUCCACACUGAUGUUGAUUCAAUUUCACUAUAUGAAUGUAUGGAUUACAAUAGAUCGGCAAGGGAGCUCUAUGUGGAUGUAGCCCUUGCCAUUUUGCUCUCUGUUUGGCUGAGAGAGUAUUGCCCUCUAUUGUGUCUCUGGAUGUGAGACUCCCUGAAUGAGGGUGAUGGAAAGUCCAUUUUAUAGAGUAAGGGUUCUUUCCCCCUCUUACAUGGGUUAUGGGCUCAGUAAUAAGGCCCAAAGACAAGGCUCAAUAUAAGGUACCAACAAAAUAAAUAAAUAAAUAAAUAUUUUAAAACUUUAAUUAUGUUACAAAUUUUAAGGAAACUUGUGUUUGUAUACAACAUUUUUAAAUACCAUUCAAUACAUAUAAUUAAAAUACAUCACGAUUUUUCAUUACUCCUCGUCUGAACUAGAUGAAUAAAGAUCAUCACUAUCGUCAGCUUCAGACUCCCAUUCCUCCUCGUCUGUAGGCACAUCAACAUCGUCGUUCGCGCGCUCGCGCUCAGGUGCAUUUUAUUAUGGCAGAUCCCCGAGGUCAAUCGUAAUGGAAUUGAUCGGUAUUUCGAUUUCAGGACCACUAGCUACCUGAUACGGUUCGUGUACAAUAGUCAUAUCCCGCAGUGUAUCUGCAUCAAGUGUCAUUGAAGUGUCAAAUUGUUGGUCAGCAACGUCACCAUGAUCGUCAUCAGCAGUAGGAUCUCGAUCCGCAAUAUCAUACACCCCUCUGUGCUCAAUCUUUUAAACUACUUUCCAUCCCCUCCCAGCCUUAGGGUCAUCUAUAUAGAAAAUUUGUUUAGCCAUUAUUGCCAAAAUGUAAGGGUCGUCCUUAUACCAACAUCUGUUAGUGUUGAUCGAUAGCAAACCAUCAUCUUGCUUAAAACCUCCAACCUGAUGUGGGUUUGUAUCAAACCAUCGACACUUAAAGAGGAUAACUUUACACCUGUCUUUGUAAAGUAAUUGCAUAACACUUGUCAGUUUUCCAUAGAAAUUAAUGUCUGUAAUGUUGCCCACACCUAGUACAUGUACCUCACUAUUUUGCGUACAAAGCUUGUCAUCACGAUCAGCUGCCAAAAACUUGAUGCAUUUACAUGACAACCAGAGUACAAUUCUGUGCUUAGGGGCCCAAUCGCCAAGCUGUACAAUUCUUCACUGUAAACGGGUGAAUUAAUUUCCUUCAUUUUCUUCACCUAAAUAAAAGAGAAAAAGAUGUCGUGUUAGUUUAACAUUUACAAUUAUGCACAAAACCCAAACACGAACAACAUACGUUUUCACAAAACCAUCGAGGAAACAAUUCACAAUGCUUUUUGGCAUAUAAAUAUGAAGGAUGUUCCCGCUUCAUCAACUAUUCACGCUCAUCUAGGUACGUAAUUGUCUCGUCACAAUUGUUAAGUACAAACCAAUGUGUUACCUCUAUGUCCUUUUUGUCAAACGCCUCCCUUCUUAUUGGUUAGCUAAAUGGUCGUGCAAUUUAGGAAAAAGUAGAUAUUUUUUCACUUCUCACACCACUGUCAUUAUUGCGUUGUUGUCGGUUGAAUGUAGUCUCAACGUCUUGUAGGUACAUUGCACAAAAUGUAAGGGACUUAAAGCCGACCCAUGCCUCCACGAUUGAUCAUUUGGGCUUUGCCCUGUUUCGUACACUCUUUUUUUAAUUCACCCAGUAGUCUGCAUUAAUAAAAAAAAAUAUCGUAUAAAAUUAGUGUAAUUAUACAUACAUCACAAACUAAAGUAUUUAUGGUGAUUAUAUACCUUUCAAUCGGAUACAUCCAUCGAUUGUUGAUGGGUCCGGCUAGAAGUGCCUCAUCCAGUAAGUGAAUCAUGACGUGGAUCAUGCUUGUGAAGAAAGCUAGAGGAAAUAUUUGCUCAAACUUGCAUAGCACUUCAAUAAUAUCGUCGCACAACUGUUUAACAUCAGACUUUCGCAAAGUUUUUGCAGUUACUUAAGAAAAAAAAUCUCGCCAACAACAUAAUCGGCUUCACCACGUCUUCGGGCAAGAGGUGUCGAAUUCCCACCAGGAGAAGCCGUUGAAGUAUGACAUGACAAUCAUGACUCUUAAGGCUGGAUAACUUGCCUCCAUCCUCGUUUGCGCAACGACCGAUGUUUGAAGCAUACCCAUCUGGAAACUUUACAGCAGAUAGAAACUGCAAAAACUCUUUCCUCUUGUCCGGUUUCACCGAAAACGAUGCGAGCUUCUUUCUGGCUAUGUCUUCGUCCCUCGCCAUCCACAAACCUGGCCUAAUGCCCAUUUUUUCCAGAUCUAUUCGAGCUUUUAUUGUGUCAUUUAUUUUUCCCUUGAUGUCCAGUAUAGUUCCGACCAGUGUAUUAAACACAUUUUUCUCAACAUACAUUACAUCAAUGUUGUGUCUCAAUUUUAAUUUCGACCAGUACGGAAGCUCGAACAACCCCGUCUUGUGUGUCCAGUUUAGAUGUGUGUCUGGUCUUGUCCUAUUUACGAACUUGCUUAAUGGAGCAAAAUCCAACUGAUUCACCUUAGCCAAAAUUUCAUCGUCCGACCAUUCUCUGGGUCUUGGCCGAAUCUAUGGGUCGUUGAAGAAGGCUGUCUCGUUCUAACGCCACUCGUGGUCCCACGGCAACCACCUACGAUGUCGUAGGUAACAAACAUUUUCAGCGUGCCAACUAGAUGUCGUGUCCUCUUUGCAAACUAGCAUGCAUAGUAGCCCUUAGUGCUCUACCCAUACAUCAUAACGUACGCUGGAAAAUCGAUUAUAGUCCACAUCACGGCUGCUCUCAAAGUAAACAUCUUCCAGUAGAUUUAUCGUACGUAGGAACACCGUUUUCCCAUAAUUCUUUUAGUUCAUCAACCAAUGGUUGUAAAUACACAUAAAUACACGUGCCCGGAUCUUCGAUUAUUAACAACGUUAUCAUCAUAAAUUCUUUUUUCACGCACUUCCAAGGCGGCAAAUUAUACGGAAUUGCGAAGAUUGGCCAAGUGUUGUUGUAUUGAUUUAAAACCCCAAACAGAUUAAACUCGUCCGUCGCAAGUCCCAAUCUAACAUUCCAGGGCUCACAUGCAAAUUCAGGGUAUAUCCGAUUAAACUCUUUCCAGGCCUCUCCAUCUGUAGGAUGUCUCAUAACAUCGUCAUCUACCCGUCUGUCUUUAUGUCACCUCAUGUCGCUUGCAGUGUGCGUCAACAUAUACAAUCGUUGCAACCUGGGCUUUAAUGGGAGAUAACGCAUAACUUUUUAUGGAAUCUUCGUUCUUUUAUUCUAAGAUGUCAAUUUAAACCAUGACUCAUUACAUAUAGGGCAUUUAUCCAACGUUUUAUUCUCUUGGUAGAACAAAAUGCAAUUAUUUUUACACGUGUGAAUUUUUCAUAUCCCAAUCCAAGACCACUUAGCAGCUUCUUUGCACUUUUAUGAUCUUUAGGAAGGCAAUUGUCCUUUGGAAGCAUCCUCUUGAAAACCCCCAAAAAGUAAUCAAAACACUGGCUCAACAUAUGAAACUUUGUUUUUCCAUGCAUCAACUCAACAAUAGCCGUAAGCAUCGAAAAUCCUUCAUAAUCGGGGUAUAAUUCUUACUUGGCACUUUUUAAUAGUUUUUUGUACUUUUUGAAUGCCUCACUGUCCAUGGUGGGAGGGACGCCACCUUCUACUUCCACAUUCGUAUUCGAACUAGCGGUUGGAAAAACAUAAUUGAUAAUGUCCAUAAUUUGAUCAUUUGGAUCCAAAACAGAGUCAACUGUAUCCACUGCUCGGGUAAUGUGGGAGGAUGAAACAUUUUGUAUUUCUUCUCCAUGAUGAUUCCACGUAGUAUAGGUUUCCAUCAUCCCAUUUCUCACUAAAUGGUAUCGAACAGUUUCAAAAUAUUCAAUCAUUAAGUUGUUACACUUUCUAUAAGGACACCGAAUUUGAGUUGCACUCCGGUUGUUUACAAUUGCAAAAUCGAUGAAUUGAUUUAUUCCAUUCAAAUAAUCAUCAGCACAUAUGUUAGGAUUUUGUAUCCACUGUUUGUCCAUUUCACCUGCAACAAAAAAAUAAUUACAAGGGUUGCAACAACUUCAAUUAUGACAUGCCACCUUAUGCCUCCGGUAUGGGUCCUAUCACAUUCGAGAAUGCACAGUUACGUGCUGUAAUUUAAGGUUCCAACACAUUAGAGUUCAAGCAUGAGAAAAAUUCAGCAGCAUCUCCUUGCAGUUCUUCAAGUGCACGACGUAGAUACAAAAAACUACGAAGCACCCGAAGAACGCAAAGAGAUGCUACCACAUUUCCCACAUUCAAACUCUAAUGUGUGAAUCGCAAACUACAACAUAUAAAUGUGUAUUCUCAAACUGUCCAAAAUUUUGGGAUAAUUGAAGAAUUAAUUGGACCGCAGUCAUGCUUUCGCAUCCAUUUGCGAAAUCCAACUAAUUCUCAAACGAGAAACUAAGCUCAUAUGAACAUUGCAAACCAUUUUUUGUACAUUGAUACAAAAAUGAUUGCAUAAAAAUAUAUAAACUCACAACACCAAUAAACUACAUACAACACAAUUUAAAUGAAUGGAAAAUAAAUAAGUUAGUUAAGAAAUAUUAUACCUCAAAUCUGUUGCAAAUUACACCAAGGGAAGGCAGCAGCUACAAUUGUUUUGCAGCUUCUACCUUCCUGGAAAUGGUGUGAGGUGCAUUAAAGGCAACACCUUUGCGCAACGACGCCAUCGUCGCACAAAACCUUUCACUCAAAACCUUUCACUUCAGCUUUUUGGGCGCCAAAUGAGUACCUUUCCCGGGUUUUUAACCCCUUGAGCGACGAAUCGUAGAUCGUCGCGCUUUUUUUUUUCGCCAUUGGCGACGAAAAAAUGUUCGUCGCGUUUUUUUUUUUGGACAUUGAGGGACGAAAAAAUGUUCAUCGUGUUUUUAUUUUAUUUUAUAAUAUUUACAACAUUUUUCCAUUCCUUCUUCAAAAAAUUUCAACCCACAUGCGUAUUUAAUAAAUAAUACGAUUUGUACCUAUUUAAUUAAUAUACAUAUUUAUUAAAAUGCAUUCAUUUCAUUCAUGCUUAAUAAAAACAUUAAGUACAUAUUUAAUGUCCUCAUUUUUCAUACUAAAAAAACUUAAAAUUCUUUUCUAAUUAUUACAUAAGCAAUAAAAUUAAAAUAAGAAACCCUAUUCUGAUCAUCCGCAAGUAGUUCUGGUUCUUGCUGUAGUGCUGCAACACGUUCAUUAUCAAACUAGCAUUGUUGAAAUUUCGACUUGAACACGUUGUUGAUAGCCUUCAUCAGAUUUGGAUCAUUUUUGUCAAUGUCCCAAUUCCACUGUCAUGCAAAUUAAUAAAUUAAAAUCUCAUUAUUACAAUAUAUUUAACAAACAUAAUUAUUAAUUAAAUAAUGAAAUUAACACAUACAGCUAACGCAUCAAUCAUCUGCAUCUUCAGCUCCUCAGGGAUGGCUCUCCAAGACUCCAAUUCUAUAGUACAUUUGGUACGCACCAAUACUCAUAUGUUUGCCAAGAAGCUGCCACGCUUAUCUGACUUCACUACCCCUACUAUUUCGUCACCAGUGAUUCGGUAACGGCUCCUACCAUAAGAUUUUCGGACCCGUACCUCAACUCUUUUCUUCUUGUCUGUCAACAUAAAAUAUUUUCAUAAUACUAAAACCUAAAUACAAAUUUUAUACAAAAUGCAAAAAUUUGAACGCAAACUUUUUCCAGAACCUUCGCCAUCCGUUGUCUUUGAUGAACGUGCACCAUCAUCAACCAUCGUACAAACACUUAAAGAAAGAACUGAUUAUAAUCGCUCGAAGUUGAUUCAGAGCGUUUCUAAAACGAACUAUGAAAAAUAAGAAGAGCAGAUGUGCAUAAUUAUAGGAGACUUAGGGACUUUGCGCGACGAAGACUUUGUCGCGCUAACCCGACACUAAAUACGGCAUUUACUUCUCUGAUUCAGAUGCACCAAAUUGUUGACCUAUUACUAAUCGUCCUUGCGCGACGAAAGGUUUGUCGCGCAAGAGUUUGCACAACGACCCUUUGUUGCGCAAACGUUUUAGCGACAAACUUGAGGUAGUAAUUAUUUUUGAAUACAUAUUAUAACUGAAAAUUUGUUGGUAAUUAUAAAAUUUACGUAAAUACAUAUAUCUAUGUUUACAUAAACUUUAUAAUCACCAAUAAAUUUUUAGUUAUAAUAUGUAUUCUUAAAAUAAUUACUACCUUAUAUAAAUUGAUAUUAUAUUCCGUUCAAUUAAGACGUUACAUAAUUACUACCUUAAAUAAAUUGAUAUUGUAUUUCAUUCACUUAAUACACUAAAUCAUUAAUACCUUAAAUAAAUUAGUAUUAUAUUUCAUUCAAUUAAUACCUUAAAUAAAUUGAUAAUAUACUCCAUUCAAUUAUUUAAAUAACCAAACAUGAAUUAAAACAUAAUUAAGUCCAAAUACAUAAUUUAUAAAAAGUACCUUAAAUUUAAAUAUUGUCAUACAAAACAUAAAAUUAAAACAACUAUUUCGAUGAUCAUCCAUUAUGCUGGACUUCAUAACGCCACCUAUUGUAACCUCCCUCCAACGCAUCAUCCAUCAACUUCAUCAAAUGUUCCUUCGGUUCAUCAUCAAGAGUAUAGUUACACUGUCACACAUAUAUGGAAUUAAUUAAUUAUAACAUAUAACACAAAACUUUACAAAUUUCAUUAUUCAUCCAUCAAUAGUGUCACAGCCCGUCCCGGAAGAUUAUUCUCGAUGACGUGGAAUGACGAAAUUGCCCUCAGACGUUAAAUGAUGUGUGUGAGUUAUUAUUGGGUUAAAUUGUUUUAGAUUGGUGGCCCAAUUAGAAUUAAGACUUUUCUUAGUGUUAAUUGGUGGCUUUUGGACCACACACACCCAUCUUUUCUCUCUCAUUCUCGUGCUCUCUCUCUCUCUCGCAAACUCUUUCUCUCUCCCUUCUUCGUACGGACCAACCCAGAAACCCUCUCAAACCUUGUAGAUCGAAGGUUUUAAGAUCAUGAUUGUGUUCGUGAGGACCAUACGAGUUUAAAUGUACCAUUUUCAGGUAAGGAAACCCUAAAAAACCCGUGAAAAUCCUAGCUCUGAUUUGAGGUACUAUUCAUGUGGACGUAAAAUCUUGUGUUUCAGGGAAUUUUAAGGACACAUGGAGCUUUAAGAGGUCCUCACGAGGCUCGGAGUAGUUCGUUGGAAGAAAUUGGACAUCGGGAUAGCUAGUUUCGAAGUUGGCCGGUUUUCUCGAAUUUCUCCGGCAAGAAUUCGUGGGUUACAAAUCCUAAAACAAGUAUAACGUUGUUCUACUCAUCUCUAGCUUUACAUUGAUGCAAAUUUCAUAGACAAUGGUGAAGAAACGAGUGAGAAAAUAAGAUUUUUUGAAAUCCCCAGUUUCCGGUAACGGCGACAGUCGCCGGGGAUUUAGGAAGAAGACGAUAGAAUAUUCCGUCAAUUCUGACAGAAUAUUCUGAUGCUGUCAGUUAGAGUUAACAGUUACCGUUGGGUUUUAACAGAAUAUUCCUUGGAAUAUUCCUAACGGUAGUUAGAGAAUCCGUUAGGAUUCCCUGUGCUUGGCCGCGCAUGUUGCUGUGCACUAGCUGACGUGUGGCAGCCCGUGAGGGGUCAGAAAAAUAUUCUAAAAAUUUGGGGAUGAUCCUGAGGUUGUGUAGGUCACUGUGGUAUAUUCAAACACCCCAUUUGAGCAUUGUAUGAGAAGUUAUUAGCUAGUUUUGUCUAUGUGCUUUAAAUAACGUUUUUAUAGUUAAUUCGCAUAUAUGUGAGACUUAUCCCGAGGACGAGAGCAUUCAAGGGCGACUCGGAGGCUACGACCCUUCGACAUACCAAUGAGUGGGCUUUUGGUUUUCAGUAUAUAUUUAUAUACUUGUUAUUUUCCCAGAAAAAUAAGUUAAAAUGAUGUAUGCCUUGAAUGCCAUGCGUAUGAAUUUAUAUUUCGUAUAUGAAUUGGUAUAUGAUGCAUUAUAUAUAAUUGUGGUGCUGUGGACGCUCAGGUAAGCUCAGGUGAGUUAUGUUUGGUUAUGUGAAUUAUCGAUGACGUGAUAUGUGAUUGAAUAACGUUGAGCUUAUAAAACUGCACCUAGGAUGAUUGUGAUUUAGUCAGAGAUAUGGCACAGGUCUGUUUAUUAUGUCACCUCCCGCACCAUAUGCUCAUAUUGGAACCAAUUUAGGUGCACAGUCUUGUCGUACAAACCUUUAUUAUGGUUUUGACUCGUAAGUGACUAGCGAUUUAUCGCCCAGCUAUUAUGUGAGGGUAAUAUUAAGCAUGAUUAUAUUACACCCAUUAUUGUCGUACAGACAUUUUCAUUUGGUUCUGACUCUUGUGCAGUAUAUUGCCGUAUAGGUCAUUGUAGUGACUCCGGCUAAAUUGAUUUUUAAGCUAUGAAUUCAGCCGUACAGACUACCACAGGGGUUCCGGCUCGCAUGUUAUAUUUCUAUGAAAUUAUUCUUACCUGAAUUGCUUACUCUGUUAUAUCUUGGCAUGGCAUACAUAUGAAUAUAAGUAUGUGAAGUAUGAUUUGAAUUGAUAUAUUUACAUAUAUAUUUAUGUAUAUGCUUAUAUCUUGAUUCUGGGAAAAAUUAUACAUGUUUUACAGCGAGGGGUUAGAUAUGUUGAUAAAUGAAAUGGUUUUGUAAAAUAUUUGUUUUUGCCCACUCACGUUUUCUGUUUUGUGCCCCUCCAUGUUUUAGGUAAGCUUGCUGUCGGUGGCCUUGAGGAUUUCGGCAGUUCUGACCUAUCAAAAUAAUUGUAGGACAUCUUAUGGUACUGUAUAAUUAGUACUUGUCCUACUGGACUGCACCUGGACUUUCUAUGCUCUGAUUAGGAGUAUUUACUUUUGUAUCUUACUCCUAACACUUCUUGUUUAGUAGCACUCUAGUAGUUCAGUUUUUAAUUAUUCAUAUAUUUCUUAUCAUUAUUGCUUCCGCACUGUGCACAUGUACGUCACUCUCACGUGGGGGGUGUGUUAAAUAGUAUACGUACUAAUAGUUCAUCCAUCACCGCCUUCUUUGCAUUCUCCGGCACAUCUUUCCAAGAAUGCCACUCAGUAGUAGGACAUUUGCUCCCCAUGGCUAUAGCAAUUGCAUGCGCGAACUGAAAAUGAUGCAUUACAUUAUUUGGGUCGGCAUCGGUCACAUUAUCAUCCUUUUUUCUAUUCUCCAUCUCAGCACAAACAAACUUUUGAAGAGUAAAAUUUGUGAAUUAAAAAAAGAGCAGAAGGGCAUAUUUAUAGCAAAGAUAUGGCCUUUGCGCGAUGAAGGAUUUUGUUGCACAAAGGCCUCACUAAAUGCUUUCCCAUUCUGUUCAUUCACAUGCGUUGAGUGCUCUGACUGAAAACUGACUACAACUUGCGCAACGAACCCUUUGUCGCGCAAUUGUUCCCUAGUCUCCAAUGUGUUGAAUGAUCUGCCCAAGAAAAUGAACAGGGUUUGUGCGACAAAGCAUUUGUCGCACGUUUGUGUACUCGCCAAAGAAAAAAUUUUCGUGACGAAUGAGUUUUCUUUCGUCAUGCAAAACUGUUUUGCGCGACUAAGUUCUCCGUCGCUCAUAAUUCACUACUAUUGCGCGACGAAGAUAUCUUUAUCGUUGUGCAAGGUACAUUGCGCGAGGGAAUUUUCUUUGUCGCGCAAUCAGUUUUUUGUACUAGUGUAGAGCCAAUAAGUAUACUUAAUAAAAAAUCACUAACGAAAUCCAAGAUUACAAGUUUUUGUUGAUCAGUAGCUAUGAAGAACUAAAGGGAGUAGUAUUCAAUCUCUAACGAACCUUGUCCCCACAAUCACAAUCAUAAAACUUAACAACACAUAAAACUCCAUCAUGAUAUGAAAAAUAUGUAAAUCUGCAUGUAUUGUAACACAUUCAUCAUGGGGUCCUCUUCAUGGCUGCCAACGCAGCCUUUCCUUAUGCUUCGAAUUGAAGCCCCUCUUGGUUGCUAAUUCGUGUUAUGCAGUACGCAGAAUUGGAUGAAGAAUUCCGCAAUCGAGUUCAAGAAAAUACUCGGCGUUAUAUUGGUGUAUUUGCUGAUGGCAUCGAUGAGCUCAUGCCGGAGCCCACAGAGGCAUUUACAGAUGAUCAUGACAUACUGAUGACCUAGAGGUCUGAUGAUGGACCAGAGAAUAUGGAUGGUCCUGAUCCACAUCAGAAGAUGCCUCCUGAAAUCAAGCGCUACUUGUGAGUUCAACGCAAAAUCCUAAUUCCUGUUGUGUUUGUUCGAAUGAAAUUUCGGUCUAAAUGUGUGCAUUCACUGAAUUGUGUGGUCGGUAACGGAUCAUAUGCAUUUAAAUCUUAGUUUGACUAGUAUCUCAUGCCAGAAGUUACAGUGCAUAAUCAGUCAUUGGAUAUGUAUGGUAACACUGAUACACUUCCUGUUUCGAUUUAAACUUUGUGUUUGGUAGCUCGUUAUCCAUGACUCGAUGGUAAAUGAAUGUCAAUUUUCUCAAAGGAAUUAGCUAGCUUGAUUUAUACCGAUUGUAUAACAAAUAGAACAAAGGGGAACCUUAUACUUCAACUCAGGGCAUCAAAGUUCUUGAAGUUUCAGGAGGUACUUUAUACCGAUUUAGUCAUAAUUAUUUAAUAACGUGAGGACAGCUGUAUUAUAAUAUGGUUAUGCAUUAAUUUUUUCAACAGUAGUGUUUAUCAUCCUUCUGUGAUAUAUUGAGAUGUUGUUCAAUUUCAGGCAAAGAUGCAAGAGUUGGCUGAAGAUGUUCCAAAAGGCCAUAUUCCAAGGACAAUGACUGUUCACUUCAGGGGUGAACUCACAAGAAAGGUAGCAUGCUUCUAUGUUAAUUCUCAUAGAGCAUUUUAAGCGUAAACUUACAGUUUUGAAUUAAUCCUUUGCAAUGGGGUAGGCAGGGGUUUCCAUUUCACAUGAUUGCAGGAAGUGAUGACAUCCUGCUUCUACUUAACUGAUUAUUAACUUUUUUCUUUUGAAUUUUCAUGUGCCUCUUUCGCAACACCAUUAGGUAGCUCCGGGUGAUGUUGUGAAACUAUCUGGGAUUUUUCUUCCUAUUCCUUACACUGGUUUCAGAGCAAUGCGGGCUGGCUUAGUUGCAGAUACUUACUUAGAAGCCAUGUCCAUCACACAUACUAAGAAAAAAUAUGAAGAGUAAGCCAUUAUUACAUUUUCAGUUCAAUUUGGUCAUCUGUUUAUACAUUUCUUUUAUCAGUUCUCGGUCGACAAAACCAUCUAUGCUUCUGUAUUGGACUAAAUUACUUUCAUACAAAUCUUUAACUAUAUAUUGUUCCCAUUUUUCAACUCUUAACAUAGACCCUAUCUGGUGCUUGUAGUGCAGUUUUUGCUAAACUUAUAGUUCUUUUACCUGCUUUGAUAAACCGCUUUAAUUCUUACAUGAUAAUAGGUGCUGUGUACUAACUUGUGUUAUGCCGUAGUUACGAACUUAUAGGAGAUGAGGAAGAACAGGUUGCACGUUUGGCUGAGGAUGGUAACAUUUAUGAAAAGCUGGCUCGAUCUUUGGCACCUGAAAUAUAUGGGCAUGAAGAUAUAAAAAAAGGCGCUGCUUCUGCUCCUAGUGGGUGCUCCCCACAGGAAACUAAAAGAUGGAAUGAAGGUAAGUUCUCAACGUUACCAGAUACCAUGUAACUCAAUCAUACAUGUUGUCAAACUGAAUUUUGCUUACCAUUUUGAGAAUUUUGAUUCACAAGAUUAUGGAUAUCAUUUGGAAGCAUCCUCUAUAGUGAAGUGGAAGAUCAGCAGUCCUCUCUUCUUCCUUCUCUCUCUUGACCUUGCUUCCUGAUCUGGCUCUUACUCCUCUUGGUCACUGAUUAAUGGUUAUGUAAAUUGAGCUUCAGUUUGCAAUUUGUCUCCUUCCAUUUUAAGAUGGGAUUUCCAAGCCAAAUGUUUUAUUUUUAGGAAAAUUUUGGAGCUCAUAUCAUGUCUGUGAUACUGAUACAGUAGACUGGUCAUAGCAUGUUUUAUCAUUUGCAUGGUAGGACUACAAAAGCUCAUAAUAUAUUCUCCUUCAAAAUGCAGAUUAGAGGAGAUUUACAUAUUUGUCUGAUGGGUGAUCCUGGAGUUGCAAAGAGCCAGCUUCUCAAACACAUAAUUAAUGUAGCACCAAGGGGAGUUUAUACAACUGGCAAAGGAAGCAGUGGUGUUGGUCUAAUUGCUGCUGUUCAGAAAGAUCCCGUCACAAAUGAAAUGGUCCUGGAAGGAGGAGCAUUGGUGAGACACAUAUGCUCCAUUCAGUUAUAUAUAUUAUUUUUUUCAUCUAUGUUUAUUUUCACAUGUUAUACGAGUGGAAGAGCAUAUAAAAUAGUAACUACGUGUCGAAUAUAUGGAUAAUACUUAAGAUUUCUUAAUGUUAAACUUUUAUUGAAUCAUACCAAAUGUGUGCCCUUGAUGCAGAAGUAAUAGCUAGAAAGUAAAGUGGGAAGUAGAACCUAGCCAGUUUUCAGGAGUCAAUCCAUAACAAAUUCCAUUUAGAAUCCCUAAUUAAACCAGAUCCCCAUAGUUCUCUAUUAGGCUAUCUAUCUGAUUAUUCUUCUAGUGUUUCUGGGUGUUGAACUGUGGAAGUAUAACUCAUUUCAGGUGCUAGCGAAUAUGGGAAUAUGUGCUAUUGAUGAAUUUGAUAAGAUGGAUGAAUUAGAUCAGCAGGCUGUUAGCAUUGCUAAGGCUGGGAUCACUACGUCUUUGAAUGCAAGAACAGCUGUUCUUGCUGCAGCAAAUCCAGCAUGGUACAAAUCUUUCUACUUUUUAAUCAGGUUCAUUUAGGGCAUUACUCUUUGUUGCUACUCUUCUAUAUUGCUCUAAUUAUGUGGUACUUUUUCUACUGCUGGCGGCUAACCUUCUUUGUGAAAAAUCUACUCUUACUGUGGUUGUUUUAUAUAUAUUCUUGAAGGGGGAGAUACGACCUACGUAGAACUCCUGCUGAAAACAUUAAUCUUCCACCAGCCCUUUUGUCAAGAUUUGAUCUUUUAUGGUUAAUCCUGGAUCGAGCAGAUAUAGAUAGUGAUCUUGAGAUGGCUAGGCAUGUUGUCUAUGUUCACCAGAAUAAAG
rnacentral:lncRNA from 1 species